GGGGGCUGUGGAGUGUGGCGAUGGUGUCCGCAUCGACGGCACUCGCUCUCUCGCUCGCUGCAUCGAGCGAAGGCCUAGACGAGGCCGGAAUGGAAACCAUAAGUGCCGUGGUAUCACUCUCAUUUUCUUUUGUUCUAAUGGAAGAGUGCCUCAUUCUAGAAAUUCCCCGGUUCGUUCCGCUGCGCUCCUCGCAACUCUUAGUUCCAUAUCAGAUUCUCUCCCCACCUGAGUGUGGGGCGGAGGAAAUUGGCUGUGAUCCUUUUUUGGCUGGAGCUCCGGUCGAUUGAGGCCUUUCGAGGUCUCAUCUGGCGUUCAAAGUGGUCCGGGAAAAACUCCUUUAUUUGUCGAGAUUAUUGGCAUUGUUAAGCAACCUCGCCUGGCAUUAAGAUUGCGAUCAGUAGCACUGUCCAUCAUUCUGCCAACACGCUCCUGCCUCGCGUCACAUACUUCGCUCUUCAAACUCACUCGCUGUGAGACGUUACUCAUAGGUGAACGGUUCAGGCACCAUGAUGGCGAUGCGUUCUCUUCCAGGCUUGGCCUCCUCUGGCCUCGAGCACUUGUCUUGUCCGGGCAGCCCCUCUAGAUCAGCAAUCUCCAGAAGCCAAUAUGGAAUACCUCCCUCACAAUUUUCCAGGGUGCGAUCUGUGGCAAACUCCACACCGCUGAAAACAACAUUGAGUGUCAGCAAGCUGAAUUUCAACCCUUUCCUGGCCGGUGAGUCGCUUGGUGUGAGCUCCUCUACAAAAGUGGGUCCAGCCAUGAAGAAGGCACUGGUCCAUAGAGUCUCUGCACAAGCUGGUGAUGCGAGUUCUUCUGAUGCAUAUCCGGAAGGAACACCCAAGGUCGGCGAUGUGGAGGUUCCGAAGCCCGCAAUGAGGCGAGUGAAGAUUGGAAUCUACUUCGCCACUUGGUGGGCAUUGAACGUGGUAUUCAACAUUUACAACAAGAAGGUGUUGAAUGUGUUUCCAUUUCCAUGGUUGACAUCCACGCUGUCCCUCGCAGCCGGUUCAGCUAUCAUGCUGAUUUCAUGGGCCCUGCGGAUUGUUCCUGCACCGGACGUGGACGUCGAGUUUUGGAAAGGCCUUGCUCCGUGGGUGUUACAAUGGAACCUGUUGGUCGCGGUGUUUCUGGAGAUGAAAAUACGAGCGGCAUUGGCGCACACAAUUGGGCACGUGGCAGCGACUGUGAGUAUGUCGAAGGUUGCAGUGUCAUUCACACACAUCAUCAAGAGCGCGGAACCCGCAUUCAGUGUGAUCAUUCAGAGAUUGUUGCUGGGGGAGGACUUUCCCUUGCCAGUCUACCUGUCGUUGCUGCCCAUUGUUGGGGGUUGUGGUUUGGCUGCUGCUACAGAGCUGAACUUCAACAUGACAGGUUUUGUGGGAGCCAUGGUUUCGAACAUUGCGUUCGUCUUCCGCAACAUCUUCUCGAAGAAGGGGAUGACAAGCGGCAAGAGCGUUGGUGGCAUGAACUACUACGCAUGCCUGAGCAUGAUGUCGCUUGUGUUUUUGACGCCUUUCGCAAUCGCUGUGGAAGGCCCCAAGUCUUGGACGGCGGGGUGGGAUGCGGCGAACUUGACUGUUGGACCGAAGAUUUUCUGUGAAUGCGAUGAGUAUGAUUGGAAUGGAGGAUUGAGGGGGUUCGUAAGUGAUCCGUAUGGUGAUGUGCAGGUGGGUGGUGGCGCAGAGUGUGUUUUACCAUUUGUACAACCAGGUCUCGUACAUGUCCCUGAACGAGAUCUCACCACUAACGUUCAGCAUCGGUAACACCAUGAAGCGGGUGACGGUUAUCGUGUCUUCCAUCAUCAUCUUCCACACACAAGUGCAGCCGAUGAACGCUGUUGGUGCUGCCAUUGCCAUCUUCGGAACUUUUCUGUACUCCCAGGCAAAUCAAUAAAUCUCGGAGCAUUGCGAGGCCUGGAGUGUCCUAAACUGUACCAUAGGGUUAGGCGUAUAUCAAAACUGUAAAGGAGGUAUCGCAUGUGAAAUGUCUAUUUCAAGACCUAAUUUGAGCACAGACACCACUGAUGUGACGAAGAAUUUGUUCAUUUUUUCCUGUGGCGUAAAGCAGCAGGUCCUACAUUUUUAUGCGUGUUGUGUGAACGGCAACCACUUAGGAGUUGCGAUAUGUUUGCUUACAGAUGCAUCUCCCAACAGAUGUCACAACUCGAUUAUGUACAUAUGAAGUAGCAAUCCGCAGUAGUGGAUAGUGCUGAGUGAACUGAAUACGGACUGCUUCAGGGUGCUUGUGAAGGUUGAGAUACUGAGCUGCCACUGUCUGGAAUACUUCGAAUGCAAUCAGCGAUGUUAUUCUGUUGUGGUUUUUUGAAGUUUUACUCUGAACAAAUUGCAGGUGUUUGCUAGCUUCAUGCAACAAUCAUCUUUCUCAUUACAACUUUACGUAAUUUGGACAGGAGGAUCAAAUACUUGUGUCAAGUAAAUUGUAGGAAUAUGUACUAUUUUUAAUGAUGCCAAUUAAAUUCCGUGAAUUUGCA